UGGCAGAGAGGUCACACCCGUUCCCAUACCGAACACGGAAGUUAAGCUCUCUAGCGCCGAUGGUAGUUGGGACCUUGUCCCUGUGAGAGUAGGACGUUGCCAGGCU
rnacentral:rRNA from 1 species